rnacentral:rRNA from 1 species
UCCGUAGGUGAACCUGCGGAAGGAUCAUUAAUGAUGUUCAACGGAUGUGCUGGCGGCUUAACACCCGCAUGUGCACUCCUUAACACAAUCACACACCUGUGAACCUCGAACCGUGUCUGUGCGCUGAUCCCGUAGGGAGAUGCGUGUGCGCGCGCGUUCUUACUUUACAAAACCCUGUUAACUAAAGCUCUAGAAAGUGUUGGUUAAUAAAAAACAACCAUCAGCAACGGAUCUCUUGGCAUUCCAAUCGAUGAAGAACGUAGCGAAUUGCGAUAAGUAAUGUGAAUUGCAGAAUUCAGUGAAUCAUCGAAUCUUUGAACGCACCUUGCGCCCUCUGGUAUUCCGGAGGGCAUGCCCGGUUGAGUGUCAUGAAUAUCUCAACUCUAACAUUUUGUUAACGGUCUUGUGGGUGAAGCCUGUGGUCUAGCGAGAUUGCAGGUUGUAAUCCUUGGGACUAAAGUGUUGGAGAUUGGACUUGAGUUUUGUUGGCCUGCUAGGGUCGACUGACUCGAAAUUGAUUAGCAAUGCGUGAUCCAUUGGGUCCAUCUCGGCGUGAUAAGUUGAUCGCUGUAAAGGAACCAUGUGGGUGUGGCUUGCUUCUAAUCGUCUUAGGACAGCUUUGACAUUUACACCUCAACUCGGGUAGGAUUACCCGCUGAACUUAAGCAUAUCAAUAAGCGGAGGA